GGGCGUAAAGAGCUCGUAGGUCGUUUGACACGUCGGAUGUGAAAAUCUGAGGCUUAACCUCAGACCUGCAUUCGAUACGGUCAAACUAGAGUGUGGUAGGGGAGACUGGAAUUCCUGGUGUAGCGGUGGAAUGCGCAGAUAUCAGGAGGAACACCAAUGGCGAAGGCAGGUCUCUGGGCCAUUACUGACACUGAGGAGCGAAAGCGCGGGGAGCGAACAGGAUUAGAUACCCUGGUAGUCCGCGCCGUAAACGGUGGGCACUAGUUGUGGGAACCUUCCACGGUUUCCGCGACGCAGCUAACGCAUUAAGUGCCCCGCCUGGGGAGUACGAUCGCAAGAUUAAAACUCAAAGGAAUUGACGGGGCCCCGCACAAGCAGCGGAGCAUGCGGCUUAAUUCGACGCAACGCGAAGAACCUUACCAAGGCUUGACAGUUAGAGAAAAGCUACAGAGAUGUAGUGUCCGCAAGGGCUCUAUUCAGGUGGUGCAUGGUUGUCGUCAGCUCGUGUCGUGAGAUGUUGGGUUAAGUCCCGCAACGAGCGCAACCUUCGUUCUGUGUUGCCAGCAUUUAGUUGGGGACUCACAGGAGACUGCCGGGGUCAACUCGGAGGAAGGUAAU
rnacentral:rRNA from 1 species